rnacentral:lncRNA from 1 species
AACACUCCUCAUAUUCACCUUCUCCUAGCCUUUCCUCCCCUUUUGACCGAUUGAUUUUACGUUUCCCUUCAUCUUCACCGAUUGAAAUCGGAUGCUAACCUUUCCACCGGUUAAUCGGCCUAUUUCACCGAUUAAAGUCGCCUAAACCACCAGAUCUAGAUUCUCCAUCGAACAACACUUCAAACUAGGGUUUGUUCGACCUCCUUCCAUUCCAACACCGAAACCUAGGGUUUAUAGAGUUCUGAUCUUCUUCCGCUGCGACAACUCCUCCAAUCAGGAGUUCAACUCCAUUUCUCGGUUCUUCUCCGAUCUGCCGUGACCGGGAUCGCAUCAUGUGGUAUUCAGAGCAAAGUUCUCUUCCUCGGGCUUCAAGAGAUAGGUUUCUUGUAUCACUUCUCUCAGAUUGUUCCUUUCUGUGUUUAUUCACGUCUUUGUCUCUGGUAGUUUUGUAUUUUAUUUGAUUUGUGAUUCUGAAUAUCUUGUCCUAUUUUCUCCAUUUCGUGUUGUUCAAUUUUUUUUUCCUUUAUUGUCUCGAUCUAUUGUGUUUUGAUUCAGUUUGAUCUAUGCUAAUCUGUGAUUAGGAUUCCUGAUUGUGUUGUUCUUGAGUUUGUUGUACUUGAGUCAUUUCAUUGAGUCUUUCAUCAUUUUUAAUCGGUCCAAAAAUUUUGGUUUGAGUAAUUUCAUUUGAGCAUCAUUUUCUGUCUUGUCUUGAAGUCUUGUGCAUUUGAUUAAUUGUCAAGAACUCUGGUUUCAAACCAUGUGGUGCUGUUUCAUUUGAUCAUUGAAUCAUACCAUAACAUCUGCACAAUUGAUGAGCGAUGACAUUAUAGAGCUCAAGUGCGUGAAAUGAUGUUGAUCAUGUCAGAUUUGGUUGGUUGAUUUUGUUUUAGCAUCUAGCAGUCAUUGUUCAUUGGAUAAUUGUGUGUCUGACUUGCUAUUUUGAUAUAUAUCAAUGCUUACUUAAAUCUGGUUCGGAAUGAACACCAUAUAAGCAUGAAAUUGCCUUUGCAAUUGGCUUGGUGAUAGACUGGAAAUUCAGAGUGCAUUGGCAGUUGACCGAACUGCACAUUCUUUGCUUGAGUCUUUUAUGUUUUUAAAUCUGAUUCAGUACUUAGAUCAUUACUNAACAUCUGAAACUUUAAAUCNAAUACUUUCAAUCAAUUUUAAGUGCUGAAUUGAACACAAUUUUAGUGUUCAAAAGUCAUUUGAUUCCUUGAGUCAAAAUUUGAGUGGUUCANUUGNUUAGUUUGAGUAAUUUUGAGGGNUGCCUAAGUCAAAUUUUGAGAUAGUGUGUUUCUGCAUCAAGUUGCUUUGCAAACAAGUUUGUUUUAGUGAUUUGAAACCGAUGAUGCAAGGAAACCACGAGUUAUAGCUGCCCAACCAUUUUUCAUUGUUUACACCACCAAAUUUUUGGCAUUUUUCAUUAACAAGUUGCUGGUUUGAUUGAUUACAUUUGAGGUUUGUAUGGUGCAUCUACAUUUGUGUAAACUUGCAGCAAAAGCUUGGUUCCUGUGUGAUAUCUUAAAUACACAAUUCAAAAGGCAACAUUUCAGUCAUUUAAAAAAACAAACAAAAAGAAAAGAAGCUGAAAGACCAGUGCAAGUUCAAAUUUGAAACCUGAUGCAACCUAGACUAACUUUUCUUAAACAUCUCAGCAGCUUAUUGUUUAUCUUUUAUUGUUUUUAAAAUCUGUUCUAGUUUUAUUCUUUAGGUUCUAUUUGUUGUGCUUACCUUUAUUCACUAGCCUUGUUUCUUGUUUGUCAAUUGUUGGCUAUCUUGGUUUUGUCUUUCACGCGUGCAAUCUAUUCUGCCAUUCUUUAAUUGACCUUUUGUUGUUUUUGUAAUCNGUUCUAGAGUAAAUCUUGAGUCAGUUUCUCUGCUGUGCUGUCAGUUUUCCUUAUCUGGUGCUUACCUUGUUGUUGGUUGUUCUGUUCUGUCAUCCCUUAGCCAAGCCAUUUCCUGUUUGUGAAGCUGAUAUCACUUUGGUUUUUGGAAAUUGAAAGAGAGGUAUUUGUGAAUGGUAGCCUCUUAGGUGGAAGUGAUCCACAGAAUUCUCUGACCUUGACUGAAAUCUCUUCAAAACCUACCCUUGAGUGUGUAAAUUGUUAGAGUGAAGCCUUGAGUGUUGUGAGUCUUGUAAGACUGACUUUAGCCUGAUUUCUUUGGCCAUUUGAGAGAGAUAAAUCAGUUUUCAUCUAACUGUAUUGAUAUCUGUUUUGGUGACUGUUCAUUGUGCAGGAAAAGAGUUUGAAUGAUUCAACUGGAGCAGCUGUGACUGUUUAAGAAGCAUUGGCUUCAAUAUUAAACUGUUUGCUGAUUCCAUUGUGAUAUUAAAUGUUUUGAAUGUGAUUGUAUUCAUUUUAAGCUGCGCUUGCAUGCAUUCUGGAAUUUAAAUGAGUUUUUGAUUUCUGCAUUUGGUCUUGAUUAGAAGUAUUACUCUCACUUAGUUGAAAACAUCCUUCCAAUUGCAUUGGCUUCAAAUUUCAGUUUGAUCAGAAUGCUUGAUUGAAUACAUUCACAUGUUACCUAGCUAGUGUGCACUGUCAACACCCAAUUUCGUCCGGGUGACUAAAUAAUAAGAUUAGUUUUUAUUUUUGUCUUAUUUUAUUUUAUUUUAUUUUGUUUUGUUUUACUUUUUUUAGUAUUUGAUUUAGUUUUUUUUUUUUUUUUUUUUUAUUUUUGGAUUUAAUUUCAUGAUUUUAUAAUCUUUUGAAAAAAAAGAGAAAUGAAAAAAGGAAAGAAAAAUGAAAAAUAGAUUAGAAUACCAGUUUUGUCUUUUAGUCUAAAAAAAAAAAGAAAAGCGAAAAAGAUAAAAAAAAAAAACAACAAAGGAGAUUUUGGUUGGAGAGUGCUGGGGUGCAUGGCAGACGCAGAGUGGAACAGGCACAAUUUGGUUUUGGCAGACGCAGAGUGGAAUGGGCAAAUUCGGUUUUUGGCAGCGACAAAAGCAGCUUUGGCAGAGAAGGUUUGGGUGAUCAGGUAUCAAAAGCAUGGAAGCAACCAGGGAAAAAGGAGAAGAUCAUCAUCCACUACACUUAUCCUCUCCGAAAAACAACCAUAGUUUUUCACCAUUUUUUCCACCUCCCUCAUACUUAACAGAUCCAUCAAAUCACACAUGUCUUCCCGAUCACUCAACAGAUUCACCUCACACGUUCCUUUUCUCUCCAUCACUCAACACGCACACCAUUCCAUCUUCACCAUCACACCCACUCUAAUUCCUCCAUCAACACCAAAGAGAUCACACACUACAGACAAUUCUCCUAGGACUCACCACUACCUCCUUACCACAUCUUAACGGUUUCCUCUGCUCUCCCAAUACCAGGGGUUCCCAAUUCAUCACCCAACAGAUUCAUCAUUGUUACCUCUGACCAUUCUCCAUGGCUCCACACACUUCAGCUUCUUGAUUUUCCCAUCUCCUUCAAUAACACACAUCACGGAAAUACAAGAUUUCCCCAACCUCCCUCUGCAUAAAACCUUUUUGAUCAUCUUCAACUCAGGCAGAGGAACCCACUCACACACUCCAACGCUCUGCAGCCCCCAACCCGUAAGCAACCUUCACAUACAGUCACACAAUCUUUUCCUCUUCAUCACUCACCACCGUAUAAUCUCUCCCCAUUCGCUCAUCAGUUUGGCACCAAUUCGACAUUCUAAACUCCAUUGCCGUGACCCUCGCCACAUUCACCACCGACAACCCAUAGCCUUCAUCUUCCUCUUCCAUUAUCACCUGCAAAUCCAACACACAACCACAACCAUUUCCUCCAAUACACAGCACAACCAUCUUCAAGAAAGAAAACCACGGGCAUUUACAUUACAAUUUCAAUUGCAUUUGGUGGUGGCAACUACAUUGGGCUAAUUACCAUAGUUCCCUUACACCAUUUUCUGAUCACACUUGCAUCUUCACUUCAAAAACCUCAUCCAUUUUCAAUCGUUUUUUUAUUUUCGUACCUCCAUUUAUUUGGAUAAAUGGUGAAGAUUGGCAAGUGAAGUGUAGAGGGAGGAGAAUGAGAAGUGGUGUUGCUGCAUCGGCGUCGCGGAGAGGUGUUACUAGCAGGAGAGGUUGAACUGCUGCAAAGGGCGACUACGCUACUGGCCUGGACGACGGUGCUGACCGGUGACGUUGAGUGGUGAUCUGGUUUGCGGCUUGCGGUGGCCGAGCUUGCCCAACAGGCAAUUCGCAAGAGGGGAACUAUCUCCCUCACGCACGAGGAGAGGAGGGGAGCAGAGCCACCAACACUAGGAGCACCAUCGGCCCUAGGCAACGCUGGCGGCUAGCACGACGGUGGCCGAUUUGGAGCGUGGGUGGCGGAAGAGGAGAACUAGACGUUGUAGCCCUUGCAGUCACCGGCGAUGGCGACGUGACGCGGAGGGGCGAGAAUAUUUCUCUCGCGCGCGAAGAAGAAAAGAGGGGGGAAGAGUCCUUCCGAUGACCGGCGACGGCUCUGGUGUGAACGGCGUCUUCGAUGACGCCUUUGACCACGGCUCCCGACAGCUUGUAGCAGUGGUGGAGACGGUGGCAUGCGGCUGCGGCAAGGACAAGCCUCCAUGGUUUACCUCUCGAAGGAGACCCUGGGUCUCUGAGUUGUUGAACGCAAAUGAGAUGAACUCAAAGGAACCCCCAAUUUUUCAAAUUAGGGCAAAGAGGUUUUGGGCCUGGUUAUUGAGCCUUUCUCUUCCCGCCGCCACCUCCGUUUCUCUAUUCGCACCUCCAUUCCCUUUCCGGCAAACAAAAAAGGCCUUGGGCCUGGCCAGAACCUACUACAUGCCACCUCCAACUUUGCUGCUGCACCCCCUUGGGUCUGGAUCAACAAAUUUCGAGCUGCACCCCCAUUUUUGGCCAUACACCCCUAACAGACUACAAGACCAGAAGCUUCAGUAUAUUUUUCAGCACCCCCGGUUUUAAUCUCUGCACCCCUAUUCUUUUUGGGCUUGGACUGUGAUAUUUUUUUAUUGUCUUUGUUAUUUUUUAUUUAUUUAUUUCUUUAGCUUUGACAUCUGUUUUAUUAUUGUUUGAUUGUUAAAAUAAAAAGUAUAAAAAAAAAUCAUAAAAAAUUAAAAUCAAAUAAAAAUAUUUUGAAAAGGUUUAAGCGCACGUGCGACCGCUCGCGUAGGCCUUGUGCUGAAAACCUUUUCCCUUUUCUUUUACAAAUAAAAAUUAAAAUCAAACUAAAAUAUUUUGAAAAGAUUUAAGCACACGUGCGACUGCUCGCGUAGGCCUUGUGCUGAAAAUCUUUUCCUUUUCUUUUAUAAAAAGCAAAAAUCAAAUAAAAAUAUUUUGAAAAGGUUCAAGCACACGUGCGACCGCUCGCGUAGGCCUUGUGCGGAAAACCUUUUCCUUUUCUUUUACAAAAAUUACAAAAAUCAAAUAAAAUAUUUUGGAAAGAUUUAAGAACACGUGCGACCGCUCGCGUAGGCCUUGUGCUGAAGAUCUUUUCCCUUUCUUUUACAAAAAUUAAAAAUUAAAUAAAAAUAUUUUGAAAAGGUUUAAGCACACGUGCGACCGCUCGCGUAGGCCUUGUGCUAAAAAACCUUUUCUCUUUUAUAUAAAAAUACCAAAAAAAUAUAAAAUCUUCAAAAUCUAAAAACAUCUUCAAACAACAAUCUUUCACCAGAACUACGUAACCCUGAUUUCUCAGUCCAACUGAGAAUACGUAGGAGCAAGGUCAAUCCUUGUCGGGCACAAAAAAACACAAAAAAAUAUUUUGUUUUCCUUAGAGUUAUAUUUUUAGGGGAAAUUAAACAUUUUGCAAACCACAUUUUUAUUCGCGCAUUUAAUUAAAGGUACUGCCUUAGGGCAGACGUUGUGGGGUGCUAACACCUUCCCCACACGUAACCGACUCCCGAACCCAAUCUUUGGUUUUCGUGGACCGUGUCUUUUCUUUAUGGUUUUUCCGUAGUUUUCCAGAAUAAACUAUGGUGGCGACUCCAAAAACUCUUUUUCUAAACCUAUUAAUUAUUUUUGGAUCGUCGUCCCGUCGCGAUUUUUCGGUUGCGACAUGCACAUCUGACUUGAUUGAAUCAUUAUUUUGAGUAAAAGACUAGCUUGAGUUGGUUGUUUAAAUCAAUUUGUCUUCAACUUAGAAUCACAUUUAUUUGAAUUUGAUUUAAAGACCAUUUACAUGUGCAUUUUGGAAUCUGGUAUCAGUUAGUGUGAGCAGAGUUGACAUGUGGAAGCUUCUGCUAUAUGCUUAAAUUGUUUUGCUGAUAUAUGUGGAGUUUAAUAAUUAGAAGCAGCCAACUUGAAUUCUGAAUUGAAUCUGUUCUGCAUUAUAUGGCAUUCAUUUGGUUUCAACCCUGAAUCACAUUCAUUUGCAUCUGGUUAAAUAUACACGUUCCUUGUGAAUGUCCUGCUAGCUUUAAUGUGAAUAACUUGUGCAAAGCUGAAUUGAUGAUGUUAAUCAGAUUGGAAUAUGAGAAUGCAUGAAUUUUGAGCAGCAAUUUAGUGAAUCUUGUAUAUUGGCUGAUCUGGUUUAUGUGGUUAAAAGUUUAAACCACGGUUUAGUGAAGUUGCAGGGUAGUUCAAAAAGUAAAGAGGUUCAAGAUGCAGUUUAAGAAACCCAACAGUUAGAAAUAGCAUGACAAAUGGGAAGUGUAAUAUCAUUAUUUCUGUUUGGCCGUAGAUUAUAAUUGAUUGAAUACCCUGUUGAUUGCUAUUUGAUGUAUCUGUGCAACAUCAUUUUGAAUCAGAUUGCAAAUUGAGAGCAACUAGGAUAAUUUUGCUGCACCAACUGCACCAUUCCAAGAGAAAGGGAAGACUCUUAUAUUGUGUCAAUUUACCUUUUGCUAUUGGUGUAGAUAGGGUGUGCUGAAACAAAUUGUGUGCAUGUGAUGAUUGUAGGAUAUCCAACAACAACAAAUUGAAGCUACAAGAUUGAGCACGGCCACGUUAAUUCUGCAGAAGUGGACCACCAAGCCGAGACCGUAGCAGCCAGAGAUUGGGCCGUGAGUUUUCUGCAGAGAUUGAAGAAGACCAGUAGCUUAGUUUAGUGUUUCUUUUAUUUGUCUUUGUAUUUGAUGGGCUUGCAGCCCACUGACAAUGUUAGUUUUAGCUUUGUGUUGUAACGGCCUUUUAUAAAGUACAAGUAUUUGGAAGAGUCCUUGGUGCUCUUUCCAAAUCUUGGCAACUUUAAUUGCUUUAAUUUUAGCAUAGCUAGACAUAGGAGUAGACUUUAAUAUUGAAUUGCUUCUGUGUUUCACAUUAGGUGUGACCUUUGUCACAUUAGAGUCCGAACAUAUUAGGGGUCUUAGAGUCCGUUUUCAUUGUUUGUUUCUUUUGAGUCUUGUACUUUGAUUUUAAAAGUAAUUUUACUUUAAAGGGUAUUUAGUGAGUAGAACAAAACAAAUCUAGCAAGGCAAAGACUUGGUACUUAAGCAACCCUAGUGGUUCACCUCUCUUACCUGGGAUUUGUCAAGUGUGAAAUCUUUAAAUCCUUUAGAUUAGAAGAACUUUUAAGAACAAAGAUGUCUUGUUAUUCAUAUAGUUCCUCUAGUUCAUUUAGUUCAUCUAGGAACUUUAAUUUUGAUAAGCCCAUUAGUCUUAAAGAAAUUAAAAGAGAACAUGAUAAAGCUAGAAGGAAGACUUGUUCAUCUCAUGAGUUUGAUAGGAUUGAGGGUACUUUGUAUAAACAAGCUAGGGAAAAUAUUCCUUUCUUUGGUGAGGAUAUUGGUGCAUUUACUUACUUAGCUUGGGAAAAGGAAAUUGAUGACAUGCAUUUCUUUAUGGUUAGAAGAAGUCAAUCUGACUCUUAUUAUUCUCGUGACUGUGAAUCAUAUAUCAUGAAUCUUUACAUUUCUAGAUUUGAAGGGUAUGCAAGAGAGUGGUGGGAAGAAAGAGAAUAUCAUGUUCAAAGGAGGCAAGUCAUUCAAAGAAAUUUACAACUUAUGAGAGAGUUUAUUAAAGGAGGCAAGUCAUUCAUUCAAAAUUUAAGUGGAUUCUAUCAAAGGGAAACAGAGUUUAGAGACAAACUCAUGAAGUUUUUGAGUGAGGGUGAGGGAAGUAGAAGAAGAUUUGAGAGAGAACAUAAGCAAUUACAAGAGAGAAUAGAGAGACAAGAGAGAAGAAAAGAGAGAAAAGAAGAAGAAGAAAGACAAAGACAAAGAGAGAACAAGAAAGAAAAAAAGAGGAAGAAAGAGUGAGAAGAGAACAAGAGAGAAAAGAAGAGGAAGAAAGAGAGAAAAAAGAAGAGGAAGAAAGAAAGAGACAAGAACAAAAGAAAGAGAAGGAAGAAAUUGAAAGGAAGGAAAAGGAAGAGAAGAAAUUGAUGACAACAUAUCUUAGUCUAGAACCCAAAAGGGGAGGUUUUCUAUCCUUUAACUUUCCUUCAAUUGAAAUUAAAUGUUCUAAAUUCAUCUUUUCUUUCCAAAAUAUUGCCAUCACAUCUUUUCAAAAGUUGCAAUUUUUAACAUAUGCCAAUCAAAAACUUGAGUUAGAGUUUCCUUUUUGGUUUUCACUAACUCAAGACAAAAAUAAAUUUUCAAAUGAAGAAUGGUUUCUUUUUAAUCAUCAUAUUGAAAAUUUUAAAAUUAAGAAACCUUCUUCUAAAAAUACUCUUUUAUAUACUUUGGGUCAUAGAAAACUAAUUAGUGUUAUAUUUGAUGCUUAUUGCAGAUUUACUUUUGACUCAGGAGGAGUUUGUCGAGAGGCAACUAAAAAUAAGUCCUCAGGAGAACCAUCAAGACUUGAGGACAAAUCCUUUCCAAGGGGGAGGGGAUGAUACGCGGGGCCCAAGCGCACUUUCUUUAGUUUAGUAUUUCUUUGAUGUAUUUUGUAUUGUGUUAGGCAUGUAGGACCUCUAGUCCUAUAAAUAGUCAUGCCUACCUUAUUGUACUUCACUUUUGAGCUAAUUGAAUUGUUUACUGUUGAGAAUUACUCCAGAACAAUUCUACCUUGAAAGUCAAGGCUANAGAAUCCCAAAGGAUCUCCUCUAGCCACCUUCCAUUUCACAUUACAUUUCAUUCAUUUUCCACCAUCANUUUCUCACUCCUCCGUGGCAUCCAUCUCGUCAUUCCUGGCUUGGCACGCGUCCCUCCANAGUGCGUCUGCUGCCACNCGANUUAAUUUCUCGCGAACCAACUCCACANAAGGCCAUUCUUCAUUUUNGUUCAGCAGCGUCUCUCNCUCGAGAGCGUACUCANCCACCAGCCACCUUCUCCUCUCAGAUNAGCCACCGUAAGACACUUCUCACCGAAACACUCCUCAUAUUCACCUUCUCCUAGCCUUUCCUCCNCUUUUGACCGAUUGAUUUUACGUUUNCCUUCAUCUUCACCGAUUGAAAUCGGNUGCUAACCUUUCCACCGGUUAAUCGGCCUAUUUCACCGAUUAAAGUCGCCUAAACCACCAGAUCUAGAUUCUCCACCGAACAACACUUCAAACUAGGGUUCGUUCGACCUCCUUCCAUUCCAACACCGAAACCUAGGGUUUAUAGAGUUCUGAUCUUCUUCCGUUGCGACAACUCCUCCAAUCAGGAGUUCAACUCCAUUUCU